rnacentral:rRNA from 1 species
GAUUAACGCUGGCGGAAUGUAUAAUACAUGCAAGUCGAGCGAGAAGCCUUGGUAGCUUGCUACUAAAGGUGGACAGCGGCGAACGAGUGAGUAACACGUUGGUACCUGCCCCGAACUCAGGGAUAAGCACUGGAAACGGUGUCUAAUACCGGAUAGUCCCGCAAGGGUAAAGAGUUUUCGGUUCGGGAGGGGCCUGCGGCCUAUCAGCUAGUUGGUGUGGUAAAGGCGCACCAAGGCAAUGACGGGUAACUGGUCUGAGAGGAUGACCAGUCACGAUGGGACUGAGACACGGCCCAUACUCCUACGGGAGGCAGCAGUAGGGAAUCUUCCACAAUGGACGAAAGUCUGAUGGAGCAAUUCCGCGUGAUUGAUGAAGCGUCUAGGCGUGUAAAGAUCUUUUCUGGGGGAAGAAUUAUGACGGUACCCUAGGAAUAAGCACCGGCUAACUCCG